UUCCUUAACAGAUAUGAUAAGUUGAUUUUAAAACUCAUCUCUAAAAGAAUAGACAAGAGGUUUUUUAUUUGAUAUACAAAAUAUGAAAACACAAUAGAAAGCUACGAUAAUUAAAACAUUAUGGUAUUGGCAAAGUCAAUGCACCAGAAACAAAUCCAGGUAUUUAGGGGGGAAUUAGAAUGAGGUAAAAGUAUCUUGUAAAUUAACUACAAGAGGAUUCAAUGAAUGAUGUUGAGACAAUUGGAUAUAAUGCCUAUCUUAAGAGAUGCCCAAGAAUAUGUUACAGCUGGGUUAACAAAGCAAAAGAAAUAAAAACAAUAGAAGAAAAUGUAGGACAACAUUUUUAUAAAACUAAGAGAACAUAGGCUUUCCUAAACCAAACAUAAAGUGAUCCAUAGUUUCUAGCUCUAAGAAAUAUGUAUUAUUUUGCACCUUACAUAAUAUUUAACACGUACAGAGUAUAUUUCCUCUGUUCUGAUCCUUUAGCCUCACUCUUAACACCUGUUUUGUUAUUGUUAUUGGUCAGGAGCUUUUUUUUUUAAGAUGAGAAGAUGAGGCAAAUGGAAAUGAAUUAGGCUGGCUAAUAAAUGUGGGACCGUGGACAUAGUUUCAGGAAUUCAGAGACAUUACUUAUCCUUUCAAACCCUUGGAUUUCCUCAAACUAGUUCAAAACUCACAUGUGAGCUGGAGUAUCUAGGUAUCUGGCACGUGCUUUGAAUAUUCUAUUUUUCCCUGAAUACUUAUAUCUCAGCCCAGAAAAACAACCACCAAAAAAGCAAGGAGCAGAGACAACAUCCUCUCCAUUUCUAGGGAAAGAACAGGUGAGAGGUAAAGAGCUUCAGCUGCCAGAAAACUCACUUUUAAAGCUAAUGUGAAGAGGCACGUUAAUGACCAUACUAAUCUGUGGAAGAAGGCCACUUAAAACGCCACUGUCUGAACCGGGUUAGGAAUGUGUUGAAGAAGCCACUACCCUCAAUUUAGCAUUCCAGUAAUUGCUCUGUAAAAAGACCCUUGAGCCACUGUGUGAAGGAAAUGGUCUAGACAGCCCAGCACCAGGAAUGUGCCAUUGUGUGUGUAGCAGAUUGAGUUUACACUGUAUUCCUGAUUCACAAAGGGGGCGAGUGUGCCAGUGGGCCGCGGGCCAGGAUGUGGGUGGUUAAAUAAGUGUUCUCGGAGGAAGCAAUGUUCUUUUGGGAUCUGCAUCAGCACACCAGCUGAUCAACAAAUGCAACAGUUUUGAAUGAAGUUAGACAAAAAGAUGAAUUGGACGUGCUCUUUUCCAAUGUGUAAAGAUCAACAGUAAACGGAUCCAAGGUUCUACAGAAACCCCUCAGUCACAGAGCUAAACACACAGGCCAGGCUCAGGAGACAGAGAAGCUGAUGGAAGACCGGGGGAGGCAGAGCAGUUACAGACCCAGCUACUGCUUCAUGUCAAGAACCUAACUGAGAAGAACAGUGAAAUGCCUGGACAUGCUAGGAUUAUCAUCUAUUUGGGGAAAUCCUAAGCCUUUGAAACACACGGCAAGGAAAAACUGACCUUACCUGAAAAAUACCUUACCCUGAAAAAUAAUGUAGCUGUGUUAAAAGAACCACAGGCAUGGAGAACUGUGAUGAGGUUUGCAGCUGGCAGGGGAGUAUGACAGUGCGGCCACAUGCGUCUCCAUCUUUCCUUUGGCAACCAAAUCGAGACUCACAUGAAACAACUCUGGGAGUUAGCUGAUGGCCCGAAAUGCAGAUCUGGCAUUCUUUUCCUCCCUACCCCCUUCUCAGCCGGUGAUUUGACAACAAAAACUGAAGCGGGUGUAUGUCCCAUUUCUAAGAACAUAUAUUUUCAAAAAAUUAUUAUUUAAUGAUGUGGCUAUUUUGAACUAUGAUUAAUAUACGUACAUUUAAGAUAUAACAUUGGCAAGUUAGAAAACCACCAAGUAAGGCCAGAUGUGUAAACUGACUUGAUGUUUAAAUUUAAAACACCAGCAUCAGACUGAAAGGUCUGUUAUUCUAUGAGUCAAAUCACAGAGAAUUCAUACACAAAUUAUGCUUACCUGUUAUUCCCGGAACCUAGAAAGAAUUGCCUUUUAAAGUUAUCAUUAACUAAUCUAUACAUUAUCAAGAUAAGUGGAUUUUGUUAAAAAUAUUGAAUUAUAGAAUGAACUUUAGAUUUUAUGGUGGUCUUGGCAACACUUGAGAAUCCAGUUAUGUUCUAGAAACUGUACUACAAAUUGUGUUAUGCUUUAAAUUAUUGUGAGAUAUGUAAAAUUGUUGCUAAAUUACUGUUAUAUUCUUUCCUGAUUUAGCUUUGUUCACUAAUACCUAGAUAUCUCACCCCCAUCAAUACUGUAGGAACUCUGUAGAACUCUGUCAUUUCAGUUUUAUUGGACAUUACCACGACUACUUCCAGAUCAUGGAGAAAGGAAUGAGCAAAGUUCAUUAAGGGGAACUAGCACAUAAUAUCAAGUAGAUAUUCUAAAUGCACUUCAGAGAAGAAACACGUUCCCACUACCCAUGCACCUACUAGCAUUCACUUAAUGAGUAUAAAAACCUGUGUAUGGUCUUUUCACAUUUGUUAGAGUUAAUAAUACUCUAUUAAUAAUAAUUAAUAAUAAUACUCUAGCUUUUCAACCAUUUACUAUCACCAUUUCACAGACAAGAAAACACAGUCCCAGGGAUCCUGAGCAGACCUGGGGCUCAAUACCCACCCCUUUCCAGACACCUACUCCUCUAAUAACAAGAACAAGUGCAAUUACAGAUCCUACCUGGGGAAAGGUAUAGAGUAGCCCACCCCAUGAAAUAAACACAAAAUGAAAACAUAAAAAUAAAAAGAACCCAUGGCUUAUCAUUUAUCAGGUAUCUUACUAUCUUUGGAAUAUUAUAGAAUAAAACCCUAUCAGAAUGCUGCCAUUGGCCUAUACAAUAAAAUUGUGUCCUGCUGCCUGGCAAAAGCUCUUCAAUUCUAACCAUUUAAGAGAAAACUAUGUCGUUUACAAGUUAGUGG